rnacentral:rRNA from 1 species
AUUGAACGCUGGCGGCAUGCCUUACACAUGCAAGUCGAACGGUAACAGGUCUUCGGAUGCUGACGAGUGGCGAACGGGUGAGUAAUACAUCGGAACGUGCCUAGUAGUGGGGGAUAACUACUCGAAAAAGUGGCUAAUACCGCAUGAGAUCUACGGAUGAAAGCAGGGGAUCGCAAGACCUUGUGCUACUAGAGCGGCCGAUGGCAGAUUAGGUAGUUGGUGGGAUAAAAGCUUACCAAGCCGACGAUCUGUAGCUGGGCUGAGAGGACGAUCAGCCAAACUGGGACUGAGACACGGCCCAGACUCCUACGGGAGGCAGCAGUGGGGAAUUUUGGACAAUGGGCGAAAGCCUGAUCCAGCAAUGCCGCAUGCAGGAUGAAGGCCUUCGGGUUGUAAACUGCUUUUGUACGGAACGAAAAGCCCCGGGUUAAUACCCUGGGGUCAUGACGGUACCGUAAGAAUAAGCACCGGCUAACUACGUGCCAGCCGCCGCCGUAA